rnacentral:rRNA from 1 species
AGAGUUUGAUCCUGGCUCAGGACGAACGCUGGCGGCGUGCCUAAUACAUGCAAGUCGAGCGAAGUUUUUCUGGUGCUUGCACUAGAAAAACUUAGCGGCGAACGGGUGAGUAACACGUAAAGAACCUGCCUCAUAGACUGGGACAACUAUUGGAAACGAUAGCUAAUACCGGAUAACAGUAUUUCUCGCAUGAGAGAUAUUUAAAAGUUGGUUAUGCUAACACUAUGAGAUGGCUUUGCGGUGCAUUAGCUAGUUGGUGGGGUAAAGGCCUACCAAGGCGACGAUGCAUAGCCGACCUGAGAGGGUGAUCGGCCACACUGGGACUGAGACACGGCCCAGACUCCUACGGGAGGCAGCAGUAGGGAAUCUUCCGCAAUGGGCGAAAGCCUGACGGAGCAACGCCGCGUGAGUGAAGAAGGAUUUCGGUUCGUAAAGCUCUGUUGUUAGGGAAGAAUGGAUAUGUAGUAACUAUACAUGUAAGAGACGGUACCUAACCAGAAAGCCACGGCUAACUACGUGCCAGCAGCCGCGGUAAUACGUAGGUGGCAAGCGUUGUCCGGAAUUAUUGGGCGUAAAGCGCGCGCAGGUGGUUUAAUAAGUCUGAUGUGAAAGCCCACGGCUCAACCGUGGAGGGUCAUUGGAAACUGUUAAACUUGAGUGCAGGAGAGAAAAGUGGAAUUCCUAGUGUAGCGGUGAAAUGCGUAGAGAUUAGGAGGAACACCAGUGGCGAAGGCGGCUUUUUGGCCUGUAACUGACACUGAGGCGCGAAAGCGUGGGGAGCAAACAGGAUUAGAUACCCUGGUAGUCCACGCCGUAAACGAUGAGUGCUAGGUGUUAGGCCCUUUCCGGGGCUUAGUGCCGCAGCUAACGCAUUAAGCACUCCGCCUGGGGAGUACGACCGCAAGGUUGAAACUCAAAGGAAUUGACGGGGGCCCGCACAAGCGGUGGAGCAUGUGGUUUAAUUCGAAGCAACGCGAAGAACCUUACCAAGUCUUGACAUACUGUGAGGACACAAGAGAUUGUGUUGUUCUGACCUUUGGUUAGACACAGAUACAGGUGGUGCAUGGUUGUCGUCAGCUCGUGUCGUGAGAUGUUGGGUUAAGUCCCGCAACGAGCGCAACCCUUAUUGUUAGUUGCCAUCAUUCAGUUGGGCACUCUAGCGAGACUGCCGGUAAUAAACCGGAGGAAGGUGGGGAUGACGUCAAAUCAUCAUGCCCCUUAUGACCUGGGCUACACACGUGCUACAAUGGCUGGUACAACGAGUCGCAAGUCGGUGACGGCAAGCUAAUCUCUUAAAGCCAGUCUCAGUUCGGAUUGUAGGCUGCAACUCGCCUACAUGAAGUCGGAAUCGCUAGUAAUCGCGGAUCAGCACGCCGCGGUGAAUACGUUCCCGGGCCUUGUACACACCGCCCGUCACACCACGAGAGUUUGUAACACCCGAAGUCGGUGAGGUAACCUUUUGGAGCCAGCCGCCUAAGGUGGGAUAGAUGAUUGGGGUGAAGUCGUAACAAGGUAGCCGUAUCGGAAGGUGCGGCUG